AGCGAACGCUGGCGGUAGGCCUAACACAUGCAAGUCGAACGGCAGCACAGGAGAGCUUGCUCUCUGGGUGGCGAGUGGCGGAUGGGUGAGGAAUACAUCGGAAUCUACUCUGUCGUGGGGGAGAACGUAGGGAAAAUUACGCUAAUACCCCAUACGAGCUACGGGGGAAAGCAGGGGAUCUUCGCACCUUGCGCGACUGAAUGAGCCGAUGUUGGAUUAGCUAGUUGGCGGGGUAAAGGCCCACCAAGGCGACGAUCCGUAGCUGGUCUGAGAGGAUGAUCAGCCACACUGGAACUGAGACACGGUCCAGACUCCUACGGGAGGCAGCAGUGGGGAAUAUUGGACAAUGGGCGCAAGCCUGAUCCAGCCAUACCGCGUGGGUGAAGAAGGCCUUCGGGUUGUAAAGCCCUUUUGUUGGGAAAGAAAUCCAGCUGGCUAAUACCCGGUUGGGAUGACGGUACCCAAAGAAUAAGCACCGGCUAACUUCGUGCCAGCCGCCGCCGUAA
rnacentral:rRNA from 1 species